AAUUGGAGGGCAAGUCUGGUGCCAGCAGCCGCGGUAAUUCCAGCUCCAAUAGCGUAUAUUAAAGUUGUUGCAGUUAAAAAGCUCGUAGUUGAAUUUCGGGGUCAGUAGAUUGGUCGUGCCACAGGUAUGUACUGGUCUUACUGGCUCCUCCUUCCUGAUGAACCGUAAUGCCAUUAAUUUGGUGUUGCGGGGAGACUGGACUGUUACUUUGAAAAAAUUAGAGUGUUUAAAGCAGGCUAACGCUUGAAUACAUUAGCAUGGAAUAAUGAAAUAGGACGUUCGAUCUUAUUUUGUUGGUUUCUAAGAUUGACGUAAUGAUUAAUAGGGAUAGUUGGGGGCAUUAGUAUUCAAUUGUCAGAGGUGAAAUUCUUGGAUUUAUUGAAGACUAACUACUGCGAAAGCAUUUGCCAAGGAUGUUUUCAUUAAUCAAGAACGUAAGUUAGGGGAUCGAAGACGAUCAGAUACCGUCGUAGUCUUAACCAUAAACUAUGCCGACUAGGGAUCGGAUGAUGUUAAUUUUUUAAUGACUCAUUCGGCGCCUUACGGGAAACCAAAGUGU
rnacentral:rRNA from 1 species